UUAGUUAAAGCCAAAUAAGAGGCAUAUCACUGUUAAUGAUAGGAUUGAAAUAUAAUUUCUAACUAAG
rnacentral:tRNA from 1 species